UACGUAGGUGGCAAGCGUUAUCCGGAAUUAUUGGGCGUAAAGCGCGCGCAGGCGGUUUCUUAAGUCUGAUGUGAAAGCCCACGGCUCAACCGUGGAGGGUCAUUGGAAACUGGGGAACUUGAGUGCAGAAGAGAAAAGCGGAAUUCCACGUGUAGCGGUGAAAUGCGUAGAGAUGUGGAGGAACACCAGUGGCGAAGGCGGCUUUUGGUCUGUAACUGACGCUGAGGCGCGAAAGCGUGGGAGCAACAGG
rnacentral:rRNA from 1 species